rnacentral:rRNA from 1 species
CCUACGGGAGGCAGCAGUGGGGAAUAUUGCGCAAUGGGCGGAAGCCUGACGCAGCGACGCCGCGUGGGGGAUGACGGCCUUCGGGUUGUAAACCUCCUUCAGCAGGGACGAAGCCGCAAGGUGACGGUACCUGCAGAAGAAGCACCGGCCAACUACGUGCCAGCAGCCGCGGUAAUACGUAGGGUGCAAGCGUUGUCCGGAAUUAUUGGGCGUAAAGAGCUCGUAGGCGGUCUGUCACGUCGGCUGUGAAAUCCCGAGGCUCAACCUCGGGUCUGCAGUCGAUACGGGCAAACUAGAGUAUUGCAGGGGAGACUGGAAUUCCUGGUGUAGCGGUGAAAUGCGCAGAUAUCAGGAGGAACACCGGUGGCGAAGGCGGGUCUCUGGGCAAUAACUGACGCUGAGGAGCGAAAGCGUGGGGAGCGAACAGGAUUAGAUACCCUGGUAGUCCACGCCGUAAACGUUGGGCGCUAGGUGUGGGGCUCAUUCCACGAGUUCCGUGCCGCAGCUAACGCAUUAAGCGCCCCGCCUGGGGAGUACGGCCGCAAGGCUAAAACUCAAAGGAAUUGACGGGGGCCCGCACAAGCGGCGGAGCAUGUUGCUUAAUUCGAUGCAACGCGAAGAACCUUACCUAGGCUUGACAUGCACGGAAAUCCUCCAGAGAUGGGGGGUCCGUAAGGGUCGUGCACAGGUGGUGCAUGGUUGUCGUCAGCUCGUGUCGUGAGAUGUUGGGUUAAGUCCCGCAACGAGCGCAACCCUCGUCCUAUGUUGCCAGCACGUAAUGGUGGGGACUCAUAGGAGACUGCCGGGGUCAACUCGGAGGAGGGUGGGGGAUGACGUCAAAUCAUCAUGCCCCUUAUGUCUAGGGCUGCAAACAUGCUACAUGGCCGGUACAAAGGGCUGCGAUACCGCGAGGUGGAGCGAAUCCCAAAAGCCGGUCUUCAGUUCGGAUUGGGGUUCUGAACUCGACCCCAUGA